rnacentral:lncRNA from 1 species
UUUUAAAUGAUAUUUAUAAAGGUAAUUGAGUAAAUUAGUGUUCUUGUCAUAUUCUAGUGUAACCCAACUCAUAUUCAAGAUAUAAAUUUCAACUAGAGAGACAAUAUAUGAUAAAACUUUGGAUUAAUUUAUCAUAUUUUGUUGGUUCAUCAAACACUGAAUUCAGAUAUAAUAUAAUAACUUAUUAUUUUCAUGUCUAUCAAAUGGACUAUAAGGAAAGUUCUCGUUGCUCUUUUUUUUUUUUUUUUUAAGAAAAAGUUCAAUGUUUUUUUUUCUUCUUCUCCGUCCAUUAAUGAUUUUUUAAUCUAAAAUCACUCGUCUAAAUUAUUUUAUUCUCUCAUUUUAUUUAAAUAAAUGGUUUUUUACAUAAACUUAGUUUUUUUCUUCAUGUUUUAUUUUAGAUUAUUUCGUAUGAGUUUGAUGUUUAGUUUGUUCGUCGUUAUGGUGUCACAUCGUUUGUUUUCUAGUCUAAUUCCGGUGUUAACAAAGCCAACAUACUCACUAUGUCGGCACUAUACUAUAAGUAAAUGGUUUAUAGAGGUUAUCUUCAAAUUCAACACUGUAUUAGUCUUACAUAUGAUUUAUCAACAUGUGGUUGAAUUGAUCAUGUCAUAGACAAUUUUUAGUCGAUAUUAUCGAACAUAUAAAUAUUUAUUUUCACAAAUGAAUUGAAUUAAAGACCAUGAAUCUUAUUUUAUUCUUGAUAAUUGUUUAUACAUGAAAUAAAUUAGUUUAAUUAUUAUGAUUAAUAUUUUAAUUUGAUUAUUUUUUAUUGACUUUUGAAAUUUUUAUAUGUAUUUCAGUAGAUUUUUUGUUUUUUUAAUUAGUUUUAAAAUAAGAUAUAGAUAAAACCGUGUCAAACUAUAAUGAAUUUACUUAUAUUAUUUUCAUUUGUAUUUAAAUGAAGUUCAUUUAUAUGAAGAAAAAAAAAAUUAUAAGAGAGAUCAAUGAUUUGAUCUCCUCGGACAAUAUAUUAGCAAUAAACGUCAUCAAGGCCUUGGACGUAGGAGUUUUGAUAGGUAGGGGAGCUUCAGGUAUAUAUUUAGUUUUCAUGGAGGGUUGUUGGUGAUUGGGGCAUGACUCCUCAGCAAAGCUAUGAUAAAGAAAAAGCUUGGCACGUAUAUAGAUCCAAAAGAUGAGUUGAUAAAAGUUUUUAUUUUUAUUUUUUUAUGUAAUUGAGAAAAUAAAUUCUAGGCUAAAUUACAUUCGUGGUCCUUUAACUUAAUUUCAGGUAACGUUUUAGUCCUUUAUCUUUUUUUUUUCCG